AUGUCAUUUUCAUUAAAAAAAAAAAACAACUCUUGCCCGCAAGGAUUCUUUAACUCUUUUUGCUUGUGUUCUUUUGAGGCGUUGAAACUGAGAAAGAAAGAGGUGAAGGAGCUGGGAAAUCAUGAGUCAGGUGUCGGUUCCUGUCCUUAUUCUUUGCAUUCUGUUCAUUUGGGGAUACAUUUGAAAUGGAGAAGUGGAAUAUCAGUUGGAGCCCAAGACCUAAAACAAACAAAACCCCUCUCGACUUCAGAUAAUUUCCUAUUUCUUGAUGAAUGAUGAACACUUCUUUUUCUUCAUCUAUAAAUGAGGAUACGUUUUUGAACAGAUGGACUAAUUCAGGCAAUUUUCAUGUCAGUUUACCAUCAUCUCUAGUAAUUGUUCAUUUGAUUCAAACGCUUCCAGAUAAAGACUGUUUUUUGAAUGUGGAAUUUGCUUGAGAACAGAGGUCAGCUUUUGUUUUUACUUACACCACACUUUUCAGGUACUCUCCAUUUGAAAAACAAAUUUACCUGAAUUAGAUUGAUUGCACAACUGCUCUACGCUUCAGAUACUAUUUUAAAAAUCUAGGACUGGCAAAACCAAUGACAAUCAGUUACAGGAGUAGAAUGUUUAGUGGUAAUGUUGGAAAAUAACUGCAUGCUCUAGGAGUGUUAGCAUACUUUAAACUUGAUGCGAG
rnacentral:lncRNA from 1 species